UUGACGGCGACGUUAGGAAGUCCGGAGUCGCCGGGGGGGGCCUCGGGAAGAGUUAUCUUUUCUGCUUAACGGCCUGCCAACCCUGGAAACGGUUCAGCCGGAGGUAGGGUCCAGUGGCCGGAAGAGCACCG
rnacentral:ncRNA from 1 species